rnacentral:tRNA from 1 species
AGGGUUGUAGUUUCUAAGAACGGUUAACUUGCACUUAAACAGGACUAAAGUCUACCCU